CAACUGUAAGAGUUUUGCACAAAUCAUAUUAAAUCUUUAGUUUUCCGAAGCCACUACCAACAGUAGCUCGCUUCACCAGAGCCCACGAUUUCGCUACAGUGCAACAGUUUUCUUCUGAACGUGCGUCGUCUGAUGUCCCUGCGCGGCUGUGAUCAGGCCGUCCACGUGGUCUUCUCACCCAUCCUUAUCCAGUCGUCCUCUCCCGUCCUGUUCCGAUCCCAUCCAACUCCACCGCCCCCAUACCCUAAUCCCCACUACAUCGGUGGAGAAAUCGACAUCCCCGUCGCCGGCAUUCACCUCCCCUCCGUGCCACCAUGUUUCUCCUCGCUGUCUCCACUCCCCUUCAAGUCUCGGUAACUUCCCAUCCCCUUUGCUGCCAAGGGCCGAAGGCACUACCUCCAAACCGUAGCCACAGCCCUGCGCCGCCGCCAUAGCCGGAGCCGGCCAAUGGCCUUUCUUUCUUCCCGCUCCUCUUUCUCGAGUCGACAGCGAGUGGCCUCCCAAUUGAUGGGUGCGCUUCCCGGUGGUACCCUCUCUCGCCCUCUCGUAAACCCUUCCAUCUUCAGCGCCAGCGGUGACCUCGCCUCCUAUCGGCUCAGUGUAUCCCCAAUCUUUGCCUCCUCUUCCGCAGGGAUGUUAAAAUUUAUGUAUAUUUCUGUUAUGCUUGACGAAAUGGCAGAAUAAGACGUGUGACAUUUCUCAAUCCGCUGCCACACUAUGCUCCAGCUAGCUGUUUUGAUUUUAUUCUCCAUCAGGCUAGCUGAUCUUGAUGUGCCCACGUUGUCUCCCUGGCUAUGACCCAUUGUGUCAUGCUUUCAUACAUUUACUGGUGGUGGUGGUUAUGUUUUGUUGGUGAGAGUAUGUAAGAUGGAGCCACUCAAUGAUGUUAGGAACGAUAGGAAGCCCUCAAUAGGCCAAUAUGACACAAUCUUAUGAUCUGCAAAUUUGUUUUUUUCACUGAAGCUCAGAGGGAGCAAAAUGGGUGCUGGUAUUGAUGAUGGGUAGCUGUUGAGGUGCAUUGCCAAGAGCAGUUCUCUAUGUCUAUUUGUUAGCUGCUGAUCAGAAGGGAUUUGCAAUGGUAGCUUGGUUAAGCAAGUUAGACGAGCGGAUUUUGAUGCCAAGUUGUAUUAAAGAUGCCUUCUUGGAAUGCUAAUUUGAAUGCCGAACUCCUCUCCUUACUUAUUGGAGGUCUUUGGAGGUUGGUUUAUAAUCCAUCGAUAAUCAUUACUAAAGACAAACAGAAUAAUUCAUAAAUAGAGGACAGGCUAAACGUUAUUAUAUUCAUAUCCUGGUAAUGCACUUGCCAAAUAUAGUUGGUGGAAAUCCAAGCUUUCUGUGGCUUUGUGCACCCUGAUCAGAGCAUUAAUAGAGUAAUGCAUGGUAUGCCAUUUUUUAUUUCUUUAGUUAUACCUGCUCAUAAAUACAAUUGUAAAAUACCUGUUUAAAGCAGCAUCUUGGUUCCAAAUUGAGUGCAUGAUUUUAGAGGUCUUCAGCAUCAGUAAAUGUUUUAAUUUUAUCUUAGUGCUGACGAUGGAUGAUAGUAUUCUUGUGCUAGGUUUGUAGUGUUUGUGUUAAAUCAAAUAAUGUCAAACUUAUUGAACAAAUUCGUUCCCAAUGUACCAUGGAAAUUAAAUGGCACCAGCAGGUAAAAGUAGACUUUAUGUUUUUUCUUAGUGCUGGUCACAUCGUAGAUAGCAUUUGUUUCCAUUUAUUCAAGGGGAACCAAAGUAUUAAAUUGGUGGUUAUCAGUUUAUUUUUUGUGAUGCGUUAGUGCAUAUAGCAUCCACGUAGCAAAGCGAUCAACAUAUAUUUAGGUUGAAACUCUUCGAAGAAAGGCAACCACGAUGACUUCUACAAUUUCAAUUAAUAGACAUUCAACUUUGCAACAGGAUGAAAGCAGUUCGUUCUAAAUAAGGAUAAAGCUUGGAAAAAUUUGUGCCUUCCAUUUGUAUUGAAAGAAGAAAGCUCUUCAAGCAGGUGUUAUUUGCAUCAUGUAACUUCGGGAAGGAAAUGCUACACAACCAUUUAAACAAUCACCUUUGUUUUAUCCAUAUGUGCCUCAUGUAGUAUGUUUAGCAGUAGUGCUAUGUGAUGUCCAACUGACACAGUAGCUCAUCUAGCCGUGUAAAUAUUAACCGUUCACUAUAUAUUUAUCAUUCUUUAAUACAUGCCAUUCAACAAGACCUGAUUAUAUCAAGAUUUUAAUUAUAGUCUUAUUACUGAAACGUGCGCAUUCUUUCCAGCUAGCCACCGCAGCGAAGCGCGGGGGUACCAGCUAGUUUCUAUAUUAGAGAUUACUUCGUUCAGCCCGCUCCACUUUUCAAUCCUACGUGCACUCCAGCAGAUUCAAAUGGCCCGUGUGAGAAAAUCAGAAAAUCUCGUUGCAUGCGGCCAGGCAAGAAACGAAGCAACAUCAACAUGGGGGUAGUUGAGAGAAAUACGCCGAUCAAUCUUAAAUACUUUUCUGGUUCAAAUAUGUCUAUCAAAAAUAAAUUGGAGGAGUAGUUUUUUACGACUAUCUUCUUUAGGUAUUUUAUUAAAUAGGAAUAAUAUCACUUAAAUACACAGAAAAAAUCAGCGUCCAUCACUGGCUCGUUGUGUAUGCCAUGAUAGCUCCUACCUCCGUGUCACUGCAUCGUAGUGUAUGACAGCUAAGAAGCCUAGUGUAAUGUGAUUAAGUAAUUACUAACCAAGGACAAAAUGGUAAAAUUUUGCCAGAAAACUAAUUAAUUGGAUUGGUUUCUGAGUUGUUGGAUGAACUAGCUUGUGACAUAUACUAGGAGAGGAACGGUAGGAUAUGAGCUGUAUAGGAUGCAUGACAAAAACGGAUGGCUAACAAGUACCAAAUCUGCUGAAUUUAAUGAUGGAAUAAAUGCUUUCUCGUGUGAUUUUUCUCAAGAGUCUAUAAGGUAGCACAAUAUGUACUCUUCCUUCACUCAUUGAAAUACUUAGCUGUAAUUUUUCUCGUGUGAUUGUACUCUACCUUCUAUAAGGUAGCAAAAACGGAUGGCUAACAAGUACGUUUUCUACACACACAAGAAAAUACAGAGGAGCAAGGGUAGUUUUAUACGAUGGGUGGAAGAUCUGCUGCUUGCUUCUUCUUGGUGGUUCUUGUGUUACUAGGAACUCCUACUUCCGCAGACGAAUGCAGGGAUAUUAGCACAAAGGACCUAUUCUGCCUGAAAUAUUUGUGCAAAUCUUUCUGCUUGGACGAGGCACGGAACUGGGGUGGAACGGCUGGCUAUGUCGACCAGUACUGGUGCAAGGGACAAAGGUGUAACUGCAGGAUCUGUCGAUUAACUUAAUGGAUAUGAAAUUAAAUUCAUCCAUCCAACCAUAUAUGUAUGCUGUAUGCAGUAGCCCUCAUCAGGUUACAGCAAAUGGAACGAUAAUAUGAUGUAAUAAUCAGCCAUGAUUAUAUUCUACUUUA